rnacentral:rRNA from 1 species
ACUCCUACGGGAGGCAGCAGUAGGGAAUCUUCCGCAAUGGGCGAAAGCCUGACGGAGCAACGCCGCGUGAGUGAAGAAGGAUUUCGGUUCGUAAAGCUCUGUUGUUAGGGAAGAAUGAUUGUGUAGUAACUAUACACAGUAGAGACGGUACCUAACCAGAAAGCCACGGCUAACUACGUGCCAGCAGCCGCGGUAAUACGUAGGUGGCAAGCGUUGUCCGGAAUUAUUGGGCGUAAAGCGCGCGCAGGUGGUUUAAUAAGUCUGAUGUGAAAGCCCACGGCUCAACCGUGGAGGGUCAUUGGAAACUGUUAAACUUGAGUGCAGGAGAGAAAAGUGGAAUUCCUAGUGUAGCGGUGAAAUGCGUAGAGAUUAGGAGGAACACCAGUGGCGAAGGCGGCUUUUUGGCCUGUAACUGACACUGAGGCGCGAAAGCGUGGGGAGCAAACAGGAUUAGAUACCCUGGUAGCUA